AUCUGGCAACGUCGUUUUCCUCACAGGCUUCCUUACGCAUCUGCGACAACAGAAGGUCAAAGAUGGCAGCCUGUACUAAAUGGCUCGAUAAAUGUGUUUUUUCAGCGAGAUUGUUCGGAAAAGUACAACUCCGACAUGAACGGUUCUUGUCCACGUCUACGUGUUGUCUGGCCGACGGAGAUGCCAGCAAGCAACCGCCGAAAUUUACCCCUCCGUCGAAGCCUGUCAUCAUAGACAGAACACAGACAGCGGCUGCUUUGCGGAAGUUCCUGAGCCCGGAGUUUAUCCCGCCUCGCCAAAGGACAGACCGGCUGAAGUUUUACAUGGAGAGGAAAGACAUGGUCCGCAGGAGGAGCGUGAUUGAACUUCCGGAAUUCUACGUGGGCAGCAUUCUUGCCGUGACCAUGUCUGACCCCAAUGCCAGUGGUAAAACAAACCGCUUUGUUGGCCUAUGCAUCCAAAGAGGGGGAAAAGGUCUUGGAGGUACAUUUGUCCUGAGGAACAUCAUCAAUAAUCAAGGUGUGGAGAUCUGCUAUGAGCUGUACAACCCACGCAUUCAGGAGAUCCAGGUGUUGAAGCUGGAGAAGCGGCUGGAUGACAACCUGAUGUACCUGAGGGACGCCCUUCCCAUGUACAGCACCGUGGAUCCGAACAUGAAGCCGACUCCCUUCUCGCCGGCUGGAGAAGUACCGGUUAACACGCAUAAAGUUAAAAUGCGACCAAGACCAUGGUCCAAACACUGGGAGCACCCCAAGUACAAAGUCCAGGGCAUAGCCUUCGACAAGUGCAUCUCCCCAGCGAAGAUGGAGGAAGCUCAGAAGUGGGCGAGGCCUUGGCAGGAGUACGACAUGUUGAAGGAGUACGACACGUCCAAGCUGGAGAAGGAGAUUUACAGUGAGAUCCAGGAGGAGAUGACUAAGUUGAAAGCAGCCUAAGAUGCAAAAAUCCGUCUCCUGGAGAUACAUGACUUCAUGGACAUGGCCGGACUAUGGUUGACUUCUGUGCACCUGGAGUGAAGUUAAAGCCCCUGGCUGGGAAAGUAGAUCAAACACACACACAACUACAGCUCAGAGACAGGCUAUCAUAUCAGCAUUCACAGACGGACACCUCCCAACAACGGCAACUGCAAACGUCUGGAUU